GGGCCCGCACAAGCAGUGGAGCAUGUGGUUUAAUUCGAUGAUACGCGAGGAACCUUACCAGGGCUUAAAUGUAAGUUGCAUAGAUCAGAGAUGGUCUUUUCUUCGGACUACUUACAAGGUGCUGCAUGGUUGUCGUCAGCUCGUGCCGUGAGGUGUCAGGUUAAGUCCUAUAACGAGCGCAACCCCUGUCGUUAGUUACCAGCAGGUAAUGUUGGGUACUCUAGCGAGACUGCCGGUGCAAACCGUGAGGAAGGUGGGGAUGACGUCAAAUCAUCACGGCCCUUACGUCCUGGGCUACACACGUGCUACAAUGGCCGGUACAGAGAGCAGCCACUACGCGAGUAGGAGCGAAUCUUCAAAGCCGGUCUCAGUUCGGAUUGUAGGCUGCAACUCGCCUACAUG
rnacentral:rRNA from 1 species